rnacentral:rRNA from 1 species
AAGUCGUAACAAGGUUUCCGUAGGUGAACCUGCGGAAGGAUCAUUAAUGAGUUCAUGCCCUCACGGGUAGAUCUCCCACCCUUGAAUAUGUUACCUUUGUUGCUUUGGCAGGCCGCUUCGGCCACUGGCUCCGGCUAGUGAGUGUCUGCCAGAGGACCCUAAAACCUGUCUUACAGUAUCGUCUGAGUACUAUAUAAUAGUUAAAACUUUCAACAACGGAUCUCUUGGUUCUGGCAUCGAUGAAGAACGCAGCGAAAUGCGAUAAGUAAUGUGAAUUGCAGAAUUCAGUGAAUCAUCGAAUCUUUGAACGCGCAUUGCGCCCCUUGGUAUUCCGAGGGGCAUGCCUGUUCGAGCGUCAUCAUAACCUUCGAGCUCAGCUUGGUGUUGGGGCCUGUCGUCUAGACAGCUCUUAAAAUCAGUGGCGGUGCCUUUAGGCUCUAAGCGUAGUAAUAUCUCUCGCUAUAGAAGCCUAGAGGUUGCUUGCCAGCAACCCCUAACUUUUAAGUUUGACCUCGGAUCAGGUAGGGAUACCCGCUGAACUUAAGCAUAUCAAUAAGCGGAGGAAAAGAAACCAACAGGGAUUGCCUCAGUAACGGCGAGUGAAGCGGCAACAGCUCAAAUUUGAAAUCUGGCUCUUUUAGGGUCCGAGUUGUAAUUUGUAGAAGAUGCUUCGGGUGUGGCUCCAGUCUAAGUUCCUUGGAACAGGGCGUCAUAGAGGGUGAGAAUCCCGUAUGUGACUGGGUGCCUUCGCCUAUGUGAAGCUCUUUCGACGAGUCGAGUUGUUUGGGAAUGCAGCUCAAAAUGGGUGGUAAAUUUCAUCUAAAGCUAAAUAUUGGCCAGAGACCGAUAGCGCACAAGUAGAGUGAUCGAAAGAUGAAAAGCACUUUGGAAAGAGAGUUAAACAGUACGUGAAAUUGUUGAAAGGGAAGCGCUUGCAACCAGACUUGCGCGUAGUUGAUCAUCCGGUGUUCUCACCGGUGCACUCGAUUACGCUCAGGCUAGCAUCGGUUUCGGUGGUUGGAUAAAGGCCCUAGGAAUGUAGCUCCUCUCGGGGAGUGUUAUAGCCUAGGGUGCAAUGCAGCCUACUGGGACCGAGGACCGCGCUUCGGCUAGGAUGCUGGCGUAAUGGUUGUAAGCGACC